rnacentral:lncRNA from 1 species
CCAGUUUUAACUUCACUUAAUUUUCUUGUCUCCUCACUUACAAUUCAAUCAUUCCAAAGGAAAAAAAAAAUUCUUGGAUUCACAUUCCAUACAUGAAACCAAGUUACUUGUUCUGUUUCUUUCAGUUUUUUGCAUAUUACCCUGUCUUAGAAUCUAAAUUGUCUUUUCGUUUUCCUUUGGUACAGAUGAACAUAGUCCAAGAAACAACCAUAUUUACAGUAGAGAGUUUCAGUCCAUGUUAGAUGGCUUAGAUGAAGAAGGCUGUGUGGAAGAAUCAGGCCAUGUUGCUGAGAAGAAGAGGCGGUUAAGUGUAGAUCAAGUUAAGGCCUUGGAGAAGAAUUUUGAGGUUGAAAACAAACUGGAACCGGAGAGGAAAGUGAAACUAGCUCAAGAACUUGGCUUGCAACCUAGACAAGUUGCUGUCUGGUUCCAAAACCGCCGUGCUAGAUGGAAGACCAAGCAAUUGGAAAGGGAUUAUGGCCUUCUCAAAACCAGUUAUGAAACUCUUAAGGUCAAUUAUGAUACCCUCCAGCAUGACAAUGAAGCUCUUCUCAAGGAGGUAAUAAUAAUUCACUUAGCUUAAUAGCUUGGUUAAUGUGCCAAGUUUAAUUUUCUCAAAGAGUCCUGCUUUUUCCAUAACUUGGAACUUGGUACGAUUAGAAUUGUGUCUGAAUUAUCUGUUGAUGAUGCAGAUAAGAGAGCUGAAGGCAAAGCUGAAUGGAGAGAGCACAGAGAGCAAUCUUUCUGUGAAGGAGGAGGUGAUUGUGCAUGAAACUGAUAAUAAAACACUUGAACAAAGUGAACCGCCUCCGGUUUCCUCUCUGGUUACCUCAUCAGACCCAGCAGAACUGAACUACGAGAGCUUCAACAACAGCAUUGGAUCAGUUGGCGCCACCCUUUUCCCAGACUUGAAAGAUGGGUCAUCAGAUAGUGACUCGAGCGCUAUCUUGAAUGAAGACAACAACAACUGCAGCCCCAACAACGCGGCUAUUUCUUCAUCUGGGGUCCUACAAAGCCAACAACAUCUUCUGAUGUCACCAACGACAACCUCUUCACUCAAUUUCAACUCAUCUUCUUCCUCACCAUCCUCCAUGAAUUGCUUCCAGUUCUCAAAAUCAACCUAUCAACCAUGCCACCAAUAUGUGA